rnacentral:rRNA from 1 species
GGGCACCUACGGGGCGCAGCAGUGGGGAAUAUUGCACAAUGGGGGAAACCCUGAUGCAGCAACGCCGCGUGAGUGAGGAAGUAUUUCGGUAUGUAAAGCUCUCUCAGCAGGGAAUAGAAAAGAAGGUACCUGAAAAAGAAGCCCUGGCUAACUACGUGCCAGCAGCCGCGGUAAUACGUAGGGGGCAAGCGUUAUCCGGAUUUACUGGGGGUAAAGGGAGCGUAGACGGAAAGGCAAGUCAGAAGUGAAAGCCCAAGGCUCAACCAUGGGACUGCUUUUGAAACUGUCAAACUA